AUGUCACACUAAUCCUUUAAAUACCGAGCAAUAGUUAGAGACAAUUUUCAACGCAACGUUUCUCUAGUAUUAAACAAAGGUCAACUAAAACAAAGACUUACUUACCCAACUGUAACUGUUACUUAAUUUUAAUGAUUUCCAUUUAAUUAUUGUGUUAUGACUUCUUUUGUAUUAAAUAGUGUUAAUUGUUAAACAUUUGCUUUUAAUGUGUUUUUGGUUAAGCAACUCAUUUCAACCAUAUAUCGAUAUUUUCCGGUUUAAUCUUAAAAGAAGACACCAUUUGUUAUGCUUGGACGAGUUGAACUUCUUUAGGUGCUACCACAAAAAUAAAGAAUCGGAUAUUUGAAUUGAGUCAAUUUCGAUUCAUUGUUGUAUUAAUCUAUGAUUCUUAUUGGAUACGCCUUAAAAUAUUAUGACAAUUGUGUUUUGAUAUCUUCAAUGGACACUUAUCAAGUUUUGGUGAAUUACAUUCUCAUCCUUUUCUUAUUACAUAUUCACUUAUUCACUUGAUGAAUACAUACAAGAUGAUGCUGAUGAUACUGAUGAAGCUGAUGAAGCUGAUGAAGAUAAAAAUGUGGAUGAAAAUGAAGAUGGCGAAUGAGGAUGUUUCUGGUUUAAACACGUUUGUUUGGAUGAGAUCGCUAAAUAAGCACGUGACUUGUCACCAAAAUGUCAAACGUUAUCCUAUUUGCAUAGUUACUCCCUGUAGUGUUGGUUAAGAAACAGUUUACGGACAGUUUUUUGGACAAAACUGUUAUUGUUAUAAUGAUUAUUAUCAUUAUCCUUAUCAUCAUUAUAACUUCAGUUACUGUUGCUGUUAUUUCAUUAUCAUUAUUCCUAUUGGAUUGACAAGAAGCAGUCUUAAGACAUUCCUCUCCUUCUUGAUGCUUAUAUUUUUUAUGCUUUUAUGCUUAAGCUUUAUCUUUGAGUUGAAUGACCAUAAAAAACUGUACAUCAUAAUGUUUGUCCUAAUCUUGUCAAUGUCCAUACUUGUGAAUCCAUCUGAAUAUACUUUAAUCUUGGUCAAGGGAUGACCAAGGAUAACUCAAAGAGAGCAUAUAAAAGGAUACAAAUAAAGGUCAAUAUUGUUAUUGUUAUCAUCAUCAUCA